GCCCAGACUCCUACGGGAGGCAGCAGUGGGGGAUAUUGCACAGUGGGGGAAACCCUGAUGCAGCGACGCCGCGUGAGUGAAGAAGUAUUUCGGUAUGUAAAGCUCUAUCAGCAGGGAAGAAAAUGACAGUACCUGACCAAGAAGCCCCGGCUAACUACGUGCCAGCAGCCGCGGUAAUACGUAGGGGGCAAGCGUUAUCCGGAUUUACUGGGUGUAAAGGGAGCGUAGACGGCUGUGCAAGCCAGAUGUGAAAGUCCGGGGCUCAACCCCGGGACUGCAUUUGGAACUGUGUGGCUGGAGUGUCGGAGAGGCAGGCGGAAUUCCUAGUGUAGCGGUGAAAUGCGUAGAUAUUAGGAGGAACACCAGUGGCGAAGGCGGCCUGCUGGACGAUGACUGACGUUGAGGCUCGAAAGCGUGGGGAGCAAACAGGAUUAGAUACCCCAGUAAU
rnacentral:rRNA from 1 species